GCUGGGCAUGGUGGCCUAUUCCCAUAGUCCCAGCUACUCUGGAGGCUGAGGCUGGAGGAUCGCUUGAGUCCAGAAGUUCUGGGCUGUAGUGCGCUAUGCCAAUCAGGUGUCUGCACUAAGUUCAGCAUCAGUAUGGUGACCUCCUGGGAGCGGGGAACCACCAGGUUGCCUAAGGAGAGUUGAACCAGCCCAGGUCGGAAAUGGAGCAGGUCAAAACUCCCGUGCUGAUCAGUAGUGGGAUCACGCCUGUGAAUAGCCACUGCACUCCAGCCUGGGCAACAUAGCGAGACCCCGUCUCUA
rnacentral:SRP_RNA from 1 species